rnacentral:misc_RNA from 1 species
UUUUCUUUAAGGUUUGAUUUGUGGGUUGUUUAUGUGCUGUUUGAUGCUUGACCUAUUAAUUAAAUAAAGAGUCUAUGAGUAGUUUUUAUUGAAUUUACCAUCCCACUUCUAUAUAAGCCUAUCACUAUUGUAAGGUCAAGUUUUUGGAAAUGGAAAUUACUCCCUUGGAAAGAAAAAAGUUUGGGGCUCGACUAUGGUUGACAUUGUUCAAUGCAAGGUUGUCAUGUGCUUCAUUCUCUGUAACUUGGUUGUUGUGACCUUGGUCUUGG